rnacentral:rRNA from 1 species
CCGCAAGGCCUCACGCGAAUGGAGCGGCCGAUGUCAGAUUAGCUAGUUGGAGAGGUAACGGCUCACCAAGCCGACGAUGGCUAGCUGGUCUGAGAGGAUGAUCAGCCACACGGGCACUGAGACACGGGCCCGACUCCUACGGGAGGCAGCAGUAAGGAAUAUUGGACAAUGGGCGAAAGCCUGAUCCAGCCACGCCGCGUGCAGGAUGACGGUCCUAUGGAUUGUAAACUGCUUUUGUCAGAGACGAAAGUGUAUGAUUUAUCAUAUUUUGACGGUAUCUGGCGAAUAAGCACCGGCUAACUACGUG